GGCGAGAUGUCCGAGUGGUCUAAGGAGUUGGAUUCAAGCGAGAGCUUGCUCAUUACAUGAGUUUCCCAAUAGCGGUUGCUGCGCGGGUUCGAAUCCCGCUCUCGUCA